rnacentral:sRNA from 1 species
CUCGGAUUCGGGAUGAAGUGGUUGACGACCCCGCCGAACACUGCCAGGGUGCGAUUGCCGUCCUGCACCAUCUGGACACCGCGACUGCGGAAUUCCUU